GGUCUGGGCUGGGCUGGGCU
rnacentral:miRNA from 1 species